GCGGCCGGAGCGCGCGCUCCCAGGCGCCCAUCCAGGCGGCGGCCGGCCGGAGGACAGCGUGCGCGUCUGGGGUUGGAUACCCGGUACCCCGGCCUCUGGGCUUCCUGUUAAUCACUCUUGUCUGAGAGCGAUUGGUGUCUGCGCCGCUUAAAGCAUGUUUAUGGAAGGAGGAAUUUUUUUGUCCAUCCAAUUCAAUAGUCUCUGUCUUUUAACAGCUUCACAGAUGCUCUCUUUGACCUUCACAAAGAUCUCCAAGUCCCAGAAUGUGACCUUGGCCUGCAAAACAGCACUUGAGAAAGGCUGAUGGAACCCCAUCGCGACUGCCCCAGCAAAACCCCCCUGCCUCCUAAGGCAGCAGUAACACCUUCUCAACACAAGGUCAGGGGCAGAUUUUGGAACAAAUUUGCUUUCUAUUAUCUGGGAUUCCUCAGUCUCUGCCUAAAGAAAUAGUCCUGAACUGGGAUUCAGGAAACCUGGCUUUAUUAGCUAGUUGGGAGAGGGAGACCUUGGGUAACUUAGAUAAAUUCUCUAAGCCUCAGGGCACUGACUAGUCAAAUAAUGAAGUCAGAAUAGAUCAGUGUUUUUCUAACACUAAGCAGUGAACUCAUUUUCCAAACAAAACUUUACAGGGAGUCCCAGUGCAUUAAACAGAUCCAGUGGAGCUACUCUGAUAGCAGUAGGCAGGGAGUUGUAGGAGAUGAGGGUACAAACAGGAGCAAAAUGGACCAGAGUCUCAUUGCCUCAACCUUCCAUUUGCAUCUGAGGCACAGUUUGAAAACCUGGAUGGAUCGUCUCCACUGUAGCUUUCAGCAUUAAACAGUCUAAUUCUCUGUUAUUCUCCAUUGUACUCUAUCAGCCAAUGCUCUCAAAUAACAAGCUGUAGGCUAAACAAAGGAGGUAGGAGAUCAUUCCCAAGGAGGUUCAAGGCUGGCGUCGGACUUGCAUAGGUUCUAAGCACUUCUUCUUUGAAUCCCCACUACCCUGCCCCAUAGCAUAUCAAACACAUGGUUUUCUUUUGGUAUUUGAGAGACAGUUUUCUCGGGUCUCAAACAUUUCUGAAAGUCCUUAAAAAAGUCAGAGACUGGGGCCUGGCCCCGUGGCCAAGUGGUUAAGUUCGCAUGCUCCGCUGCAGGCGGCCCAGUGUUUCGUUGGUU